rnacentral:rRNA from 1 species
CGUAGGGGGCUAGCGUUGUCCGGAUUUAUUGGGCGUGAAGAGCGUGUAGGCGGCCAGGUAGGUCUGGUGUGAAAACUCGAGGCUUAACCUCGAGAUGUCAUCGGAAACCAUCUGGCUAGAGUCCGGAAGAGGAAAGUGGAAUUCCUGGUGUAGCGGUGAAAUGCGCAGAUAUCAGGAAGAACACCAAUGGCGAAAGCAGCUUUCUGGGACGGUACUGACGCUGAGACGCGAAAGCGUGGGGAGCGAACAGGAUUAGAUACCCUGGUAGUCCACGCCGUAAACGAUGGGCGCUAGGUGUGGGCGGUGUCGACUCCGUCCGUGCCGAAGCUAACGCAUUAAGCGCCCCGCCUGGGGAGUACGGCCGCAAGGCUA